rnacentral:lncRNA from 1 species
CAAAAUUUAUGAAAAUUUGUUAUUAUUGAAAUCCAAAUAAAGCUAAAUAGGUAAAAACGUACCAUACUUAUCUUUCAAAAUUUUUAUUUUACUAUUUAACCUUCAAUUUAUUUAAUUUAAAUUAGGCAACAGUAUUUUAGACUUUAAAAUUUAAAUUAAUUAUUUAUUUUAAUAAAUUUAUUAUUGCGAGAAUUGUAUUAAAUAUAAUAACUAAAUAAAUAUGUAAAGAAAAAUGAGUAAUUCAAAUUUAAAGUUAAAAUAUUAUUAAUUGAUUAAAAUUAAAUAAAUUAAAAAAUUGGAUAGUAAAUUAAAAUUUUAAAAAAUUAGGUAUAAAGUAAUUUAUAUUUU